GUCUAAAGUAGUGUACUAUGUAGGGAAUAGGGUCUAAAGUAGUGUACUAUGUAGGGAAUAGGGUCUAAAGUAGUGCACUAUGUAGGGAAUAGGGUCUAAAGUAGUGUACUAUGUAGGGAAUAGGGUGCCCUAUAGGUCCUGGUCUAAAGUAGUGCACUAUGUAGGGAAUAGGGUCUAAAGUAGUGCACUAUGUAGGGAAUAGGGUGCCCUAUAGGUCCUGGUCUAAAGUAGUGCACUAUGUAGGGAAUAGGGUCUAAAGUAGUGCACUAUGUAGGGAAUAGGGUGCCCUAUAGGUCCUGGUCUAAAGUAGUGUACUAUGUAGGGAAUAGGGUGCCCUAUAGGCCAGGGUCUAAAGUAGUGUACUAUGUAGGGAAUAGGGUGCCCUAUAGGACAGGGUCUAAAGUAGUGUACUAUGUAGGGAAAAGGGUGCCCUAUAGGCCAGGGUCUAAAGUAGUGUACUAUGUAGGGAAUAGGGUCUAAAGUAGUGUACUAUGUAGGGAAUAGGGUUCCCUAUAGGUCAGGGUCUAAAGUAGUGUACUAUGUAGGGAAUAGGGUGCCCUAUAGGUCCUGGUCUAAAGUAGUGCACUAUGUAGGGAAUAGGGUGCCCUAUAGGCCAGGGUCUAAAGUAGUGUACUAUGUAGGGAAUAGGGUGCCCUAUAGGACAGGGUCUAAAGUAGUGUACUAUGUAGGGAAAAGGGUGCCCUAUAGGCCAGGGUCUAAAGUAGUGUACUAUGUAGGGAAUAGGGUCUAAAGUAGUGUACUAUGUAGGGAAUAGGGUUCCCUAUAGGUCAGGGUCUAAAGUAGUGUACUAUGUAGGGAAUAGGGUCUAAAGUAGUGCACUAUGUAGGGAAUAGGGUGCCCUAUAGGCCAGGGUCUAAAGUACAAACAUAUACUACUGUCGUGACACAACAACCAAAUGAUACCCUUCUUACAUU